CUCUUACUUGAUUUCAAACAAACUUGCUCGAUUUCAAAACUUGUUGCAGAUUUUGAAAGCCACCAGAUUUGCGCUUAUCUUCCGAUUUUGGUUCUCCUCUCUUUCGAUUUUAUCAUAUAUUGGAACUGAUACAUUGGAACUGAGUUUCGAUUUUGAAGAUUUUGCUCAAUCGGUCACUCAGAUUUAUGUGGAGCAAAGCCUUGCAAUCAGCAAUUGUAAGUGAGGAAUGCUGAUGGUGGAUAUGAUGGAGGGGAAGCUUUAGAGAUUACUGUGUAUGAUUAUUUUACCAAACACCAUAACAUUGAACUUACUUAUUCCACAUUCAUGCCAUAUAUUGAUGUUGGAAACCAAAACCGCCCAAUUAUCUUCCGCUAGAGCUUUGUACCCUUGUAUUUCUUUAAUGUUAUACGAAGGCUUUAUCUUCAAUACAGAGAGCAUCUUUAGUUGAAAAGUCGAGGCAAACGCCACAAGAACGAAUACGAGUUGUGACUGAUGCUUUGAAAACCUACUGUUAUGAUGAUGACCCUCUCUUUGUUGCUUGUGGCAUUUCAAUUGAGAAACAGCUCACCCAGGUUGAUGGCCGUGUCCUUGAAGUACCAAAGG